UACGGAGGGUGCGAGCGUUGUCCGGAAUCAUUGGGCGUAAAGGGCGCGUAGGUGGCCCGGUCAGUCUUUGGUGAAAGCGCGGGGCUCAACCCUGCGUCGGCCAGGGAUACUGCCGCGGCUGGAGCACUGUAGAGGCAGGCGGAAUUCCGGGUGUAGCGGUGGAAUGCGUAGAGAUCCGGAAGAACACCGGUGGCGAAGGCGGCCUGCUGGGCAGUUGCUGACACUGAGGCGCGACAGCGUGGGGAGCGAACAGG
rnacentral:rRNA from 1 species